UUCGUUCGGUCGCGCCGUGCCGCGACUCCCAGUCAGUGUUCGUCCGCACACGCCUCGCUCAAGCCGCUCAAUUCGAAUCGGGCCGUCGUCUCGGCCGGCGCAACGCGGCGCUACUUGGCUCUCGGCUGCUUCUUCCUUCGAUCAAAUGUAGUACGCACUAAAUCAAACGCUCAAACGCAUUAAACCCGAUCGCACAAGACGACGUUCGCCAGCCACCUGCAUCCACCAAGCGUGCGCGCGCGCGCGCUCGCGCCCCCGGUGCAUCUUCAUGGCAUUGCGCGUCCUGCCUGCCACUACACAAACGGCGCGCGGCGUGAAUUCGAGUGCUCGUCCGUAAUUAUCGCACCUGUGUCCGGUCGCAUUUACGUUUUGCACCGAAGAAGAACAUUUUUACCCGCGCGCGCUCAACGAUCGAUUGCGCGCAUGGAUUAAAAUACGUUUUUUUAUUUUUAUCUCACUGAUAUUGCUACAAUGUGCAUUUAGUGAAGUGUGGAGGAAAGUGCGCGUAUUGUGUUUUAGUUUGCAUAUCAAUCUGGACCAAUUUUCAUCAAACAGUUACGUAAAGUUUCAGUGCCAAAAACAUUGUUUUCGCUGAUUGCACAAGAGUUUUCCAUUUACACGUUUUUUGGGACGUCGUACUCUACGUGCGAUGUUCGUAUUUUCGAUUGACAAGUCUUCGUAAUAAAAGAGACUGUAAUGUGCUCCGGUUGUAAUCGCGUGUGGUCAUUAUUCCACGUAACAUGGAGCGUACUGUAUGUAACCAGCGGUGCAGCUCAACUGGUUGCCGGCGUCUUCUUCCUACUCGCCAUUCCGUCGCUCAUUCUCGGCUGCAAUCUAAUAACAGGAUUAUGGAAUAUCUGUAUGGGUAUCGGCGUUGGAAUGGUUGCUUGUUGUGGACAAGUAACCCCCAGACGUCAGGAAUACCUCCUCUACAUGACCAUCUCCAUCCUGAUGGCGAACGUGAUCAACGCCAUCGUGUCCGAAUGGGGCUUCUACACCGAAGAUCUUCCAAAACUGUUGAUCAAGCAUCAAUACCACCUCCUGGUCCAAUACGCUUCAUUGGCAACGCGAAUUGCCGCAGCGGCUGUAAUCGGCGUAGCCUUCGUGGACAGCCAGCUUACGUUCUGCUCAAUGCAAACCACACGGCCGAGCACCAAGAAGAAACUUCGUGGUUCGCACGAACAGGUUUCCGAUAUUGAAUACAUAAUUCCCAGGCCAAAGUCAUCCGGCGCGUCGUCGAAGCAGGUGUUCAAUGCGUACAACACGCAGAGCUGGGUCUUCGAAUCGGACAACGUGAACGCGGCGACGCACGCGGCCGCCUCCACCGCGGGGUACGGGAAAGCCGCACGGCUCGCAUCCGCAUCGGACUCGCCGUAUUUGAAACUGCCGCAGGAUGCGCGGACGCCGAAACGCUCGCCGAGCAAGAAAAAAGGUGACUUAGAGAACGGUGUUGUUAUUGUAGCCGAUACGACCUACCUGAUCGACAACCCCAUGGUACAAGUGGAGGAAGCGUCCGACGACAGCACGAGCAACAGCGAUCGCAAGUUGUGUUAUAUGAAGAGCUUCUCCCGCUCGGCAUCGCCGGCGGUGCUUUCCGCUAGUUCGUCUCAGAUUAGCCUCAACCAACAGCAACAGCUUCAACCGCAAACCUCGACACCGAUUUAUGAGUGCCUGGAGAAACUUACGCAACCAGAGACCUUUCGAUCGCGUUUGGAUAGCUCGCGUAGUAAUCGCGAGGAUUCGUCACACUAUCAGACUCCGCAAGUCAUGGUGCGGCGUGCGGAUUCUGCCAGUCCUCAAAUCGAGCAGGUUCAGUAUGCGUCCCUGAUGAAGGAACUACAGAAGGCGAUCGGGAACAAAAAGGAACCGGGGGUGACUUCGCCUCCGAGUAAUGGCGGCAGUGGUACCCGCACACAGACCGCCUCAAAGAGCAGCAGUAGACAGGACUCAUCGCAUUCAGACGGCAAGAAUAGCGACGCCGAGUUUUCCAAAGAGUUGGAGGCAGCGCUGCAGCUCAUCCAGGAUCUGGAGAGUCCGAAUACAAUCGAGACGCCCUCCGACACCAAGGCAUCGGGCGGCGAACGCGACGGCAGCAAACCGAUGACAGGGUGGAGAGACAGUCGCAGUGAUAGUGAAAAAACAUUGAGUGCAGUCGGCUCACUCGCCGAAAUCGGAUCGCCAUUGAACGAGUGCCAACAAGAACUUUAUACAUUCAAGCCGUCGGCGAACGGUAAGAGUGCCCGUAUCGUUGUUCAGUAUAGCGACUCGCAAAGCACGUCGGGCUAUAGCUCACCCACACAUAACAAAAGCACACCGAAAUGCUGGUCCACGACGUCAUCGUUGAACGGCAGCAACACGGAUCUGGGCAAGCCGCUCUCCUACACCAUCCACAAUACCAAAUCCACCGCAGUCAUAUCCCUCUUCACCUCCAAUGAUGCCCUCAAGAAAGGUAAAUCGGUCACUCUAGUCAACAUUUCCGGAGACAACCAGCCGAUACACGAACCCCUGCAUUCGAAUCUACCCUCCCCAAUCAUGACAGACAUUACCAAUCACAAUCAAAACAAUAACAGCAGUCAUCGCGAACAUACAAACAACAGUCAAUACGAUUAUGCCAUUGAUGUUAGUAAAUCGAGUCCGACGCGCCAAACGUCGCUCGGCUCGUCCUGGAACGUCAAGUCGCUGCUGCGAAGAAAGAAGCAGACCGUGCCGAAACUCUGCCCCGAGCUCGAGGGGGCGAUUGUAAAAUCCGAAAGCUUGGCAUACCUUACCGAGCUUGAAUUGCUUGCUAGGCAUCAACGUAAUAAAGACAUCCAACGGGUAAGAUGAAUACAAAUCAAAAUGGAGUGGUGUUUCCCCCUGGUAACAAAAUGGUGAUUGGGCGGUUUUACGCAAAUCGAGCAGAGAGUCCAGCAGCAACUUGGUACCCCAUGGACUGAUAAUGAAUAAAACAAAACAACACUGACAAGCGCAGGUCACUGAUACUGCGCAUGGAGCGAACAAUUUGGAGCACUCGUAUUCAUUCAACCUAGUGUACAAUUACAGAAGCUGCACUAUCAUUGUUAGCGUUAGCAGUACGAUCAGAGUCGACUUAACGAGCUGGCCGAUCCAAAAAAGAAGCAUUCCUCACCUGCAUCGCCAUGGUCGAUUUUGCUACAUUGGCGUUAUAGAUAGGAUUAUUGGCAAUUACUCAAUUAGUUCUGCUGCAGUAUUAUCGGCAAACACUAAGCCAGAAUGAAGGACAGCGUACAAUACGGGCCGAAAGCGAUUCGAAGCACAAAUAUGUAUUAUUCGUUCCGUAAACAACUGACCUGAAAGGUUCACGAAAGGAAAUAUCCAUAAAAUAUCGAAAAAAAAAGCACGCCAACGUAUGUGUUUUAAUCCGAUGCUAGGCGCGUGUGCUCAAGAAGAGGAAGAAAGAAACGGAGGAAGAAACGAUGGCCUAAAUGUACAUCAACAUUUUUAUAGUCGUCAUAUUUAAAUAACUGUCUAAAAUGUUGUGCUGCGGGUCAGCUUCUUUCGUCCAUGUCGGUUUUAAUCCUAUUCUUUGGCACUACACCCAUAACUGAUACACAAAUUUAUCAUUACAACCAAAUAUACAAAUGAAAAUGCUCUAAUGUAUAAAUGUAUUACGAUUUUAAACCCACGCCACUCAAUUACGAUUUCGAAAACCUCAAAUUACGCUCAAGUAGAGCAAGAAAUACAAAUGAUAUGUAACAAAACUCAAUUAUUUAUUAUUGGAUAGAAAAUUUAUCUAUUGCAUAAAGAAGUACCUAUACUAUUGUAUAUUUUUUUAUGUGUUUAAACGAAGAGAGUUGUAAAUAUUGUUGUUAUAGAUUAAUAAUAUAGUUUAUAAUAUUAUCGAUUUUAACCUAAAAUAUUUAAAACUUAUAAACAAAGUAUAAGAAAUUCUUGUGUAUAAAUAAAAUGUUUACAAAA